AGCAUAUCAAUAAGCGGAGGAAAAGAAACCAACAGGGAUUGCCUCAGUAACGGCGAGUGAAGCGGCAAAAGCUCAAAUUUGAAAUCUGGUCUCCUUGCGGGAUCCGAGUUGUAAUUUGUAGAGGAUGCUUCGGGUGCGGCCGUGGCGUAAGUUCCUUGGAACAGGGCGUCAUAGAGGGUGAGAAUCCCGUCUUGAGCCGCCGGACCGCGCCCGUGAGAAGCUCCUUCGACGAGUCGAGUUGUUUGGGAAUGCAGCUCUAAGUGGGUGGUAAAUUUCAUCUAAAGCUAAAUAUUGGCCGGAGACCGAUAGCGCACAAGUAGAGUGAUCGAAAGGUUAAAAGCACCUUGAAAAGGGAGUUAAACAGCACGUGAAAUUGUUGAAAGGGAAGCGCUUGCAACCAGACUCGAUCGCGGGGGUUCAGCGGGCAUUCUUGCCCGUGUACUCCCCCGUGCUUCGGGCCAGCAUCGGUUCUGACGGUUGGUCAAAGGCCCUCGGAAUGUAUCGUCCUCCGGGACGUCUUAUAGCCGGGGGUGCAAUGCAGCCAGUCGGGACCGAGGAACGCGCUUCGGCUUGGAUGCUGGCAUAAUGGUUGUAAGCGACCCGU
rnacentral:rRNA from 1 species